AGUGCAUUUUUUCGCCGACAAUCGGGUGCCUGAUGGCGGCGUAGUGAUCGCUCAGUUAUUGAAUCCUG
rnacentral:rRNA from 1 species